ACACCAGUAGAGAGCAGCACAUACAUUAACACAUAAAUAAACUGAGUCAAUGCCAUGAAAUAAUGAUAAUCAAUCAGAAACAAAUAAUCUAGCUGCCUUACAUCAGAAGAGGUAGAAAUAUUUAUUAAUAAUUUAUUGUUUAUUUUGUAUGCUGCUGGACCUGGGUAACAUAUUUCAUUCCUUCACGUUUAUAAUAUGUUAUGACAAUAAGCUGAACUUAAUUACACACCUCUAUGGACCAAUUUACACACCCUUAACAUGUUAUUCCUUUUGUUUUCUGCCAGAUUAAUCUUGCACAAAAUCACUGCCUAUUUUCUGUUUCUUUUAUUAGUUGCCAUCAAGAAGCAAUCUCCAAAGCUGAAAAAUGAAGCUAACAGGUUGUGUCAAAACAUGCAGUUCCACAAAUGUCCAGUAGAGGCCGGAUACAAAAGCGAGUCAAUCCCCAUAGACCACCCAUGUUAAAAUGAACAACUUUACCGCAAAAAUAAACAUGCUUUUUAACACUAGCUAAACUAGCUACACAAAAGCAAAAAAACUAAACUCCCUAGCCAGAGCUAAACACGGUAACAACACCCACCACUAGUGAUGUGUCCUUUCGUAUCGAGUAAUCCAGGCAUUUUUAUGUGAAGUUAUCCAAGCUUGUGUUGAUGACGUAUGUGGUGACGUUAGAAGCCUCGCGAGCCAGUCGUACCAUGUGACUGGUUCAGGAACUCUUCCAGGGUUUGACAUGUGAUUUAAAAUAUAAGGGGGAGUGAAGCGCAAUGGAUUCCCUGUUCACAUUCUGUGGAUUUUUGCCUGCUGUAUCUUUGCUUGCAAUCAGUUUGAGGCUCUUUUUUCCAUGGAGCCUGCUAGAAAGAGAAGAUUCUCCCCUGUCUGGGAACACUUUGACCUGAUUUCUCCUAAUAAAGUAGGCAAGAAAAGAAAAAAAAGAAACCGCCUGAUUCCCAGCACUGUGGAAAAAUUGAUAUUUUUGAAUAAAAAUUAAAAGUAUUUAAGCACUUUACAUAAAACCAGAACCUGACCCCAAUCAAGCAGUCAAGCUACAAAUCUCAAGUCUCUCCCCAACUUGUUUCCAUUUCCCCCUCUGUCCCUGCUAUCAGGAAAAACAGACACUAUAUUAAAUACAAGCCUAAAAAUACACAUAGAAGUUUAGUACCUGAGUAAAUACUGUGUGUUAAAUCACUUUAUCUUUCUAUCUUUCUAUCUUUCGGGACAGCGUAGCAGCCUAUCUACCUAUAGCACAGAUUGCUAGACCUCUACUGCUAACUAUGUAGACAUACAUCUUGCACUGAACUACUGCCAAUACUCAACCAUGUGUUCAAACAACAGUUGCUCAACAACUUGCUAUCUAGUAAUUAUGAUUAAUAACAUUCAUAAAACUAUAACAUCAGAACAAUAUAUAAAAAUGCCAUGCCUUACAUAAUGUAUUAUUGAUACAUUACAAAUAGUCUGUAAAGCUUUAAUUACUGUCUCAGAUUUGAAAGUUGCACUAUAUACUGUAAAAACUCUAUAUGCUACUACAUUACCAAAAGAAGCUUUCAUUAUUAACACACACAAAGAUGUGAUUUAAUAUUAUAUAUUCAUUUGUUGUCUUUAACCCACUUCUCAUAGGUUGGCCUGGUUGAAGUUCUGUUGGGGCUCAACUUAGAAGAUCAUCACUCUGGGUUGACAUGGUAACCUCUAUCACCCAGCAGAAGACCAUCAAACUCUCCUGUAAUGUACACUGGAUACAUUAGAGUACAUUGAAGAACAUAGACAAGUCAAUUAUAUUGUUAAAAUCUUUAUGCUGCUUAGCACAUUGCAGUCUGUUGCUCACGUUAAACUCAUCAUAAAUCCUCAAGUCAUGAACAAAACCAGGCCACUUGACCUCCACACUAGAAAUAAUAUAUGCAGCACCACAUAUGAUCUUGACAGUGCACACAAUAACACAUGUUGAACUACAAUGCAGCCUUUAACAUGUUGAUACUGUACUCAAUCUACCUGCAGCCUACCUGCACAUUUAUGCUGUGAAUGCACUUCCUAUUCACAUAAUCAGCUUCACUAUGUGAGGCAACUGUGAUGGGGAUGUGUGUGCCAUCUAUGCAACCAAUCACACUGAGAAAUCCUAAAAGACAUUACAAUUACUAAUCCCACUCUGACGUUGCAACAUGAUGUCAUUAACAGAAUAUGAUGUAAAAUUAAUUUAACAGAUCUCUACAUCAUUGAUCUGCAAUCCUGUCAAACUCCUCCUUCAUGACUCUGACAGGUUUAUGUCCAGGGAAAACCACAAACAUGACUUAAAAACCCUUUCAAGGCCAAGCACACUUUCCUGCCUCUCCUACACACAGUUGCCUUACUGAAGUGCUCUGCAUCUCAGACAUUAGAUAGAAAAACUUCCAUUUGCAAAGAACCACAGUGCAACACACAACAUCUGCUGGGAUGUCAGAGCAUAACUGCAGUUGGUCAUGUUGCAAAUGUAAGGACAGAUUAGGUUGUGGAUGUAGAUUAUGAACUGUGAUGUAAAACACUACCACUCUAAAAGACAACUGUCCACAAAUGCAACAACAUCUAUGCACAGUCUGAUAACAAUCUCAAAGAAUCCCAAAGAAUAUUUAAUUCUCUACACAGUAAUGCUGCUCCUUCAUCCACUGCACCAUUAAUCAAAGGAUAUGACAUUUUGACACACAGCAGAACUAGACUUCACAAAAACUCACCUGCUGACUGAAUGAAUGACAAAAUCAAAUAACAUAUGUGGCUGAAAAAGGCCAGAGGCAGAGAGGAACUCAAGGUUUACUGAGAUAAACCUGGUCCCGGCCAGGUUACAUUCAUAGACUCCGUUACUACAGUAACUAACCAAAAGCUUUACUUGCCUCUCUUUCUGAAACAGGCUAGAGUUACCCCUCUGUCUCUAGUUUGAGCUACUUCCCCUUGUGAAACAGAAAACCCUGAGUUUCCCUCAUUUCAGGGUUAACAAACUCAGACUUUUCACUAAACCUACUGUUACAAGAUUUUUUACAUUAUCAUUAAUAAUAAUAUAAAAAACCUUCUAACAUUCCCUCCUGUUUAUCAUUAAUACAUUCCUGGUGUCCCGUCCUCCGUGCUGCUGAGUGUCUCUGUGGCCACAUGAGCGGAGUCUGGGAGCAGCAGCGGCUCUGGGAUUUACUACCGGGACUGAGGGAGCAUCUGGAUUAACACCACACACCAGAUUUUUUAUUUCUCUUUUUGUUUUGUUUUUUAUUAUUCUUUUUUUGAAUUGUUGAAGCUUUUUUUUCUAUUUCUGGGCUGAAUAAACAACCUGCAGUCAUGUCUUGGGGUCGGGAUGAUGUGAGCAAGCUGACAGAAAGUACCUACAAGCCUCAGAUCACGAAGCCCCGCCCACACCUCCGACUGCGGCUCAGUGGGUGAUGCGAGGGGAAGAAGCAGACAUGGCGGGCUCGCUCCAAUCAGACCAACUCGAGAGGGCGGUUAUGGCCGGUGUACGGGCUGCACUUUAGUCCACACCACAAACGGUUUCCACACCACAGAUACCUCUGGCCGGGCCCUCACGUACUUCAAGUUUAGCCGCGACCACCACGUCACUAAGAUCGCGAUGAAGACACCAAUGAGGAUGCAGAAGACCUUGGAGGCCCCAGACAAGAAUUCUUCCAUCUACUUGGAAAAGCUGUCCUUAAAGACAGUGGAGCAUUUGAAGGUCCCUCUCUGUCUCCCCACACAUCCACCAACCACUGGAACACAUCUCCAAAGUUCUGCUGGUCCAGCUCAGCUUCCCCUCAGAAGAAGUGCUGCCACCUGCCAGAUGAAGGAGCCUUUUGAGAGGCAGCUGGCAUCGUGAUUGGACUGUACUUUGGUCUGUUCCAAUCCAGCUUCAGCUCCAGAGACGGCAGGCGGGACGAGUCAACGGAGGCCUGGUGGACGAAGGCAUGCAGCUGAGUACAAUCCAGAAAACAACAGAGGAGGAGUGCAGCGGCCCAGAGCCAGAACAACCAGAGUAGCAUCACCAAAGAACUACAGACUCUUCACAACCUGCUCAAACUCUUGGUACAGGACCUCACCACACGGGUCAAGAAGGUUUCUGUCUCAUUUCUACUCUGAAGCUCACCUUCUCCUGCUCAAACUGCUGACAAAUGUUUCUGCUGCUCUAAAGUCUGGUCUCCAGAACUUCCUAAAAACUCUCAAAGUCUCUUCUGCUGCAGGUUGCUUUGUAGAACUGUUCCAGAAAACCUCACUAAACCACAUGGAGGAGCCUCAAGAUAGUCGUCCAAAUGAAACCUUACAAAAACCAAACUAACACAACCCAAACGCUAAAGUCUCCUGCAGCCUACCAGAGAAGCUCUGAGAACAGAGAAUCAGGACAGGAACUCUUACCUUCUGGACAACCAACGCUGGUUCUCAAACAAGAAUACAGAAUGUGUCUGACCAAAAACCUCUGAAGACUCACUACAGCCAAGAUAAAGACACAACUCAGCUGUACCAAAUCCACUAAUCACUGCACACAUUAGGACCAUGUGAUAACUGUGGCUAAAGAACCACAUUUACCAAGACAACUAUCCAGUACAAAGCCCUAAAACACACCAAGAAACACAUUAAAGAUGAUUUUACUGCUGGAAGCUGCAAGCCAACGCCUAAAGAACAAACUAAAUCAAUGGAGCCAAACCCAGUUCACUGGUGAAGAGAAGCAGAGGAGAUGUUUGUCUGCAGCUAAAUAAAGCAGGAAGACACUGAGCUGCUCAGGUGUUCCUGGUAACACCAAGCAGCCACCUGGACAGCCAAUAGGAACACAGCCACCUGGACAGCCAAUAGGAACACAGCUUCCUGGAAGUCCAGAGGGCUGGCUUAGUGAAGGAAAUUUAAUUUAAAGUUGAAGCAGAAAGUUAACAAAGAAAGUUGAAAACCACCUUCUGAUACCUGAAAUCUCUGAGUUUUCACACAAAGAACACCUGAACAUGUCAAACUGGUUCCAUAGUAGAACCAUCAUUGUAAAAACUGUCAUAGUAUGGUGUGUUGCUCAAAAUACAUUAGGACCCGGCUGUCUAGGGUCGCCGAGGAGCAACACAAAAACAGGACAAACGCUGGUUUCCAGGGGGUUAGGAGGAUAUUUAUUAGAAAGAGGAAGUUUACAACAACACAACAUGUGAGCAGAAAAAUCACAAAGUCUGUCUUUAGUUCAGCUGAAAAUAUUAGUUGUCAGAAAUUGAAGCAUCUGAGGGCCUCUUCAAAGGAAAACGUAGUUGAUGAAGGUGUUCUGGAGCAGGACCAGAAAGACCACGACCAAGAAAUUUUGGACGACAUCCUAAACUAUGAGGUUUUUGUCAUAUUUUGGACGACAUACUAAACUAUGAGAUUUUUGUCAAGUUUUGGACAACAUACUUUUUUACGGCCUACUUUACAUUAUUUCAUCAUAUGGCACGUUUUUAAAACAUGCUGAAAAAUCGCUCUUUUUUUCGACAGUAUACUAUGGUGUUUUUUUGCGCCAAAAUUCAUGAUGAUUUUUUUUUCAAAGAAAACCUUUCUGGAGUGUUUUUCAUGGCCUAAUUUACAUUAUUUCAUCAUAUGGCACGUUUUUACAACAUAUUUGAAAAAUCUCAUUUUUUUUCGACAUAGUAUAAUAUGGCGUUUUUUUGCGCCAAAAUUCAUAAUGAUAUUUUUUUCAAAGAAAACCUUACCAUAGUAUUUUUCACGGCCUACUUUACAUUUUUCAUCAUAUGGCACAUUUUUACAUGUUGAAAAAUCGCUUUUUUUUUUACAUAGAAUAGCAUGUCUCUCUAAAAACGUCAUAGUAUAUCAUUUUGCUCUAAAAACGUCAUAGUAUAGCAUGUCGCUCUAUAAACGCCAUAGUAUAGCAUGUCGCUCUAUAAACGCCAUAGUAUAGCAUGUCGCUCUAUAAACGCCAUAGUAUAGCAUGUCGCUCUAUAAACGCCAUAGUAUAGCAUGUCGCUCUAUAAACGCCAUAGUAUAGCAUGUCGCUCUAUGAACACCAUAGUAUAGCAUGUCACUCUAAAAAAGUCAUAGUUUGGCAUGUCGCUCUAAAAACGUCAUAGUAUUUGAGAAACACUGUACUAAGGCUAAAAGUUAAGAUAACCAAUAUUUAUAUACAUUAAAUCUCACGUAUUAACAGCAUGUGAUAGUAGAGAGCUUGUUUUCUUUCACAACUAUGUUACUUCAUUAAUUUGGAUUGCAAUAACUGAAAAUGUACAAUACAGACAUGAGUGAAGAUAUCAGUGUCACAUGACGCUAGAACGUUCUUCUUUCUUUACUAUGGGAUUUAUUUUUUUAUUAGUUUGUCUCCUGUUCUUCAGUUUUACUAAUCUUUCUUUGUUGCAUCACCUUUAUUGCCCCCUAAGGUCAAAGCAUUAUUAAUUCUUGUGUUCCAGACACAGUUUUGGGCUAGUUUGUGACUGCCUCCUUAGCUAGCUGCUAGCCUUAGCUGCUGUGAGAGUUGCUAAUUUCCUGAUUUGUGGUGCUGGCUGUUUUUCUUGUUCAGGUUUUACAGGCUGUGUAGCAUGAAAAAGUGCUGCUUUAGGUGAGUCUUAGCUAAACCUUUUUGCUGACAUUCCUUUAAAUCAUUCUCUAACUGUGGCAGGACGAUGUGUUUGCUGCUAUUUUCAUAUUAUCUUAACCAGGAAGUGAAACUGUCUCGUAUCUACUAUGUAAAACGUGUUCAUACAAAGGAAUAAGGACAACAAGAGCUCUCAGUUGUCAUACUCUUUAUUCAGUGGUGCGUUCAGGGACCUGCGGUAGCCUCCAAUGACUCCCCGCAGCAGGAACAACAGAGCUUUUUGCACAUAGAAAAAAUAUAUUAAACAGAACUUGAAGAGAUAAAAACAGAGCAUGUUGUAGCUUUAGUCUCUUUAUGUUCAGACACCGACUGGAAAACCACAUUCCUGUCUAUCAGCUUAAGUUUUGACCUUUUUUUUAUUAUUAUGAACCAAAAAAUGCAAACUCAGGGUCAGAGUUAAUAGGAUCACUUUAGCUGGAUUAGUUUAAAAACGAGGAAUUUGACUGGAGUUUUUAAACUUGCACUCGUUGCUGUGGUUUCAAAUUAAGUUUCUAUGAAGCACGUACAUUUUCUAGGCUCGUUAUCUAGAAAUAGUUUCAAGAAUUAAACCAGUUUUCAAUUUGAAUCAACUUUUGGAUGUUUUUUUUUAAUAUUUCCACCAUCUAAUGCUUCCGAUUUAUCUCCAUACAGUAGGAAAAUCAAUGAUCAAUCUCAGUAAAUAACAAAAUUAGCGCCAAUUCUGCAGGUAAAUAAAUGGAAGCUACUGGCUGCCUGUAAAAGUAGGAGACAUCCAACUAUAGAAAACAGCAGCAUGGUUCGCUGUGCAGCCUUCAUUUCAGGAAGAAGAAAGACUCUUUGUGCUAUUUCUAGAUAACGAACCAGCUGAUUGUUGCCUUUUUAAGGUAAGGAGCUUUUAGAAAAUGUGAACCAGAGCAGAAAACAAACAGGAAAUGAUCGAUAAUGACCUGUGGAACGCAACCGCAUUUAAGCUACAACUUCAGAGGCUUUUUUGAUAUUUUCGUGAAUAAAACAACCUGAGAAACUUCAUUUAGUCGAGUCGCCACAACAAAGCUUUAGAGAGGAAAAAGGGAAUUCACAGGAGGGAGAUUUAUAUUAGCAUCUUAUUAACAAGAAAAUGGCACUUCAUUUAAAGAAAACAAAACAAAAAAAACACACCUUUUCUCUUUUAUCUGGGCGAAUACUGCAGAUAAUCGUCUAUUUAUUCACAUUCACACUUCCUGUUGAGGUUUUAAAUGAAGACGUGCAGAGUGAGGAGGGAAAGAGGACAGAAAAAACACAAACAUAUGAAAGGAAAGAAAGAAAAGAGUUGGAAGACAUAAAUAAG